rnacentral:rRNA from 1 species
UACUCCUACGGGAGGCAGCAGUGGGGAAUAUUGGACAAUGGGCGAAAGCCUGAUCCAGCCAUGCCGCGUGUGUGAAGAAGGUCUUCGGAUUGUAAAGCACUUUAAGUUGGGAGGAAGGGCAGUAAGUUAAUACCUUGCUGUUUUGACGUUACCAACAGAAUAAGCACCGGCUAACUUCGUGCCAGCAGCCGCGGUAAU